UACGGAGGGUGCAAGCGUUAUCCGGAUUCACUGGGUUUAAAGGGUGCGUAGGUGGGCAGGUAAGUCCGUGGUGAAAUCUCUGAGCUUAACUCAGAAACUGCCGUGGAUACUAUUUGUCUUGAAUAUUGCGGAGGUGAGCGGAAUAUGUCAUGUAGCGGUGAAAUGCUUAGAUAUGACAUAGAACACCAAUUGCGAAGGCAGCUCACUACACAAUUAUUGACGCUGAGGCACGAAAGCGUGGGGAUCAAACAGG
rnacentral:rRNA from 1 species